rnacentral:rRNA from 1 species
CCUACGGGAGGCAGCAGUGAGGAAUAUUGGUCAAUGGACGAGAGUCUGAACCAGCCAAGUAGCGUGAAGGAUGACUGCCCUAUGGGUUGUAAACUUCUUUUAUAUGGGAAUAAAACAGGGUAUGCAUACCCUCUUGUAUGUACCAUAUGAAUAAGGAUCGGCUAACUCCGUGCCAGCAGCCGCGGUAAUACGGAGGAUCCGAGCGUUAUCCGGAUUUAUUGGGUUUAAAGGGAGCGUAGGUGGAUUGUUAAGUCAGUUGUGAAAGUUUGCGGCUCAACCGUAAAAUUGCAGUUGAAACUGGCAGUCGUGAGUACAGUAGAGGUAGGCGGAAUUCGUGGUGUAGCGGUGAAAUGCUUAGAUAUCACGAAGAACUCCGAUUGCGAAGGCAGCUCACUGGACUGCAACUGACACUGAUGCUCGAAAGUGUGGGUAUCAAACAGGAUUAGAUACCCCAGUAGUC